GAUGAACGCUGGCGGCGUGCCUAACACAUGCAAUUCUAACGCUGGAGAUCUAGCUUGCUAGAUCGAAGGAGUGGCGAACGGGUGAGUAAUACAUAAGCAACCUACCCACGAAGACGGGGAUAAUCUCGGGAAACUGGGACUAAUGCCGGGGAGGUAAUCGGAGGGCAUCUUCUGGUAUUAAAGGUUGAAAACGCGGGUCGAUGUCUUGUGGCGCAUGGUUAGUUGGGGAGGUUGCUGCCCGCUGUGUGGUUGUUGCUUGGUCUGUUGUUAUUUUUAUCUGUCACUUUGUGAUUGAUCCUGUUUCCUGACUGCUGCUGGUGGGGCCCUAUUUUGUUGAUUGGUUUUGGGUAAUGCUAUUGAUGGGUGUUGACUGGUUUGGCGUGUUGCCUGGUUUGGUGGUGGCUUGCUUUGUUGGUGUGUGUGUGCUUUUGUGUUGUUGUGUUGUGUGUGGGGUUUUUGUGUGGCUGGCCUGGUGCCGGUCUAGGGUUGUGCCCUUGACUUUGGAAAAUUAUAGAAAUGAAAGGUAAUGUGUGAUGAUGAUGUGUUGGGCCCCUAUCUCGUGUUGUGUUGCUGUUUAGUGUGUGUUUGGUGGUGUUGAUGAAAAAAAAUAAAAAAAAAGUAGUGGUUGAUGUGUGCUGUUUCUGUGU
rnacentral:rRNA from 1 species